CCUAAAAUGACAGAAAUAUGCAUAGGACUUAAACUCCUAUUAUGAAGGUUAUUCUCCUUCUUUUAGUA
rnacentral:tRNA from 1 species